GGUGUCACUGUUGGUAGGUGUGUUGUAACCAAGAUUAGUAAUUAAUUACUAAUUAUAUCAUUACCUCAGGGCUCACACUACUUCAACUCGAUUUUAAAAGUCCACUAGAGCUUGUUACUUUGUUACAUUGUAUCAUAUCAUUACCUCAGGGCUCACACUACUUCAACUCGAUUUUAAAAGUCCACUAGAGCUUGUUACUUUGUUACAUUGUAUCAUAUCUAGUUGCACUAUUUUUGAUAAUAAAGUACGAAACUUCCAGCUAUUUACAGGCCCCUAAAAAUUGAGGAGAAAUUACCCCUUGGAAUUGCAGUAAUUUGUUUACACUUUAAAAACAUCUGCAUGUCAUAUCCACAUGUAUUAAUGAUAAAAGAAAAAUGCUGUCACAUUGUAUUGGAUGUUGACAUGGAAAUUUGUCAACUAAAAAACUUAUUAAGUAAUUUUGAGUUUCAACCUAAAAUAUUUUCUGGUCUUUCUUUCUUUUCCAUAUAUCUUUUGGUUUUCAAUUCUAGUGAUUAUAUUUCAUAAUCUUAGAUGUAUUUCACAAACUUCAAGCCUGACAUUUAUUUUUUUAUUGUAUUUGAUCGGCAAACCCGGAAUUACCCUUAUCCGUCCCGGAAACUGAUCCGGUAUUGUAAUUAUCUUCAUUUCCGGUUUAUAUAUGGCAUCCAUUGUUUUUCUAUGUUGAUGUUGUCAGUCAGAUACGAUUUCACUCGGAUUUACAAAUUACUUUUUAACGAUUUUCGGUAUAAAAUUAGCGGUUGGAUAAAAUGAAUAUUGCUGUCAUGAAUAAUAAAGAUGAGAAUUUAUUUUGAGAUCGUUUAUUUGGAAAUUUUGAUAAAAAGGUCUGCGAAGUUAUUUUUUAUUUUCUUUCAAAUCGAAGGUCCGUCGGGCGUAGCUAGUAACCAAAACGAAGGUCCGCUUGCAAAAGUGGAAGGUCGCGGACCUCGGACCACCGUUAAUUUGAACCCCUGCU
rnacentral:lncRNA from 1 species